GGUGCAGCGGUACACCGAACGCUCUGGAAACCUGUAUCAAUGGCUGCUAUCCGGUGCAUGCUCACUGCCUUGUACAUUGCUAUCGGUGUCCUACCUCAAGUGCACGCCCUGAAUACUGGACAGUUGCAAUGUCACCGCCCUGUUAUUGAUGGCAGGGUGACCGCUUGCACUUAUCCGUGUGCCAUGACUUCUGCAAUAACAGAUCAACAUGUUUUCUUUCUUCAUGAGCCAAAUUGGACGCCA
rnacentral:lncRNA from 1 species